rnacentral:rRNA from 1 species
UACGUAGGCAGCGAGCGUUGUUCGGAAUUAUUGGGCGUAAAGAGUGCGUAGGCGGUGCUCUAAGUCUGUCGUGAAAUCUCCCGGCUUAACUGGGAGGGUGCGGCGGAAACUGGAAUGCUAGAGGGUGGGAGAGGAAGGCGGAAUUCCUGGUGUAGCGGUGAAAUGCGUAGAUAUGAGGAGGAACACCUGCGGUGUAGACAGCUUUCUGGACCACUACUGACGCUGAGGCACGAAAGCGUGGGUAGCAAACAGG